UACAGAGGGUGCAAGCGUUAAUCGGAAUUACUGGGCGUAAAGCGUGCGUAGACGGUUACAUAAGUCGGGUGUGAAAGCCCCGGGCUCAACCUGGGAAUUGCAUUCGAGACUGCGUAGCUAGGGUGCGGAAGAGGGAAGCGGAAUUUCCGGUGUAGCGGUGAAAUGCGUAGAUAUCGGGAGGAACACCGGUGGCGAAGGCGGCUCUCUGGGCCUGUCCUGACGCUCAUGCGCGAAAGCUAGGGGAGCAAACAGG
rnacentral:rRNA from 1 species